rnacentral:rRNA from 1 species
UACUUGUACUGAUUGAGAUUUUAACACGAAGUGAGUGGCGAACGGGUGAGUAACACGUGGGUAACCUGCCCAGAAGUAGGGGAUAACACCUGGAAACAGAUGCUAAUACCGUAUAACAGAGAAAACCGCAUGGUUUUCUUUUAAAAGAUGGCUCUGCUAUCACUUCUGGAUGGACCCGCGGCGUAUUAGCUAGUUGGUGAGGUAAAGGCUCACCAAGGCAGUGAUACGUAGCCGACCUGAGAGGGUAAUCGGCCACAUUGGGACUGAGACACGGCCCAGACUCCUACGGGAGGCAGCAGUAGGGAAUCUUCCACAAUGGACGCAAGUCUGAUGGAGCAACGCCGCGUGAGUGAAGAAGGGUUUCGGCUCGUAAAGCUCUGUUGUUAAAGAAGAACGUGGGUAAGAGUAACUGUUUACCCAGUGACGGUAUUUAACCAGAAAGCCACGGCUAACUACGUGCCAGCAGCCGCGGUAAUACGUAGGUGGCAAGCGUUAUCCGGAUUUAUUGGGC